GUAUCGCACCUGUAAUACAUAAACUAAAAUUGAAACGAUCAAGAGAAGAUUAAGAUGGUUCCUGCUCAAGAAUGAGACGCAAAUUCGUGAAGUGUUCCAUAAUUUU